rnacentral:sRNA from 1 species
UUGAUGAAAACUGGACAUGGCUAGCAUUUUUCAAAGAUGCAGCAGCCACUGUUUACCUUAGCUUGAGUCGGAUGGAAGCUAAGUCACCUUUGAAAUAAAUUACUGACAGCUUCAUUACAGAUUGCCCUAAAAUUUAAAAAUUUUUAUAGAAAGGAUUCUCCUCCCUAAGCGAGCCAGCCUGUAACACCAGGCAAGGGUUUUAAACCAGAACUUCUCUUUUCUGUUUUCUUUUUGGAAAGAGGAAGCAACAUUCCCAGUUUGCUUUCUUUGCAGACAAGGGCACAGAUACGUUAAAUUUAGCCUGUGAGAGGGUUUACAGGGGUAUUCCUCAUGGGAGCCUAGAUACCUUAUUUUUAUCUCAUCCAACUGCCUCCUUUUUUCUUUUUCCUCACUGCGGUAUUGCAACAAAAGCUAUUUCCUUCUUAACUAGGAAUUCCCUAUGAGACAGUGACAUCUGUCCCUAAAGGGUGGUCUGGGUGGUACAGGGUUUUUCCUCCCUGAUCUUGCGUUUUGUUAGGGCUCGGCUGAACUAUUAAAUUUGCCUUAACUCUCUGCGGGCUGCCAUGCUGAUUAUUACAUUUUUAAGAGUAAGAUAAUACUGAUUUGACCUUCAGAAAUACAGAGGUUGGAUGCGGAUUUUCUAACUCAAAACUAACUCUCUUUCUUACAUUUAGUGCCAGGAACAAAACAAAAACAAAACAUAAACACCAUUAACAUUGGUUGAACUAAGCUAAUCAAUUACCAAACUGUAGAAUGCUGCCCUUCGGCCUUCAAGGAGGAAUUCCUACUGUUUAUGAAGAUCGGGUUUGGGUUUUUGGUUUUUUUUUUCUUUUUCUUUUUUCCGUGGUGGUGGUGGGUGGGCUUUUGUUCUUUUUGUUUUUUCUGUGGUGGUGGUGGGUGGGCUUUUGUUCUUUGAAAUUUUUUUUGCUACAUCACAGUCCAGACAUAGUUUAAUGACAAUUUGUGGGGAACAAUUAUUUAUAAAUAAAACCAUUUUAUAGGUAGUUUCCUUCCACUGCAAGAAGUGAGGUCAUUAGUUUUGCAGGAAAUCCUGGGCAGAAAUCUCCCCCGUUUAUGCCUUUGUGCCUUAAGUUACAACAUUGGGAAGAUUCUGACCUGGGAGAAUUAGGAGCCUUAUGCGCUGCCAUAUUCUCCAAAGAAUCGUGAGAUAAAUCACUGCUUUAGCUCCCUAAUGCGUGUACGUUUAGUGAAAGCACAAGAAAACAAUUAUCCAUCCCUCCUGUCUCCGACCAGAGUCUCCAGAGAGCUGUGUUAAUACUGCAGCAAAGGUGUGGGAUUCUUCCCCCAUGGCCUGCAGUCUCAGUGGAUGUUCCAAUUUAGCCAGAGAGGCGACCUAAGAAUUGCCGGGAGGAUGGAUGGCGCGCGAAUUGUUGCUUUUGCUCUUGGCUGAUUGUUUAGGAAUGUAGAGAGACUGUGUGGGGUUUGUGUGACGUUGCGGUGCCUUGCAGAUUAGGUGAGCUUUCAAUCUCUCUUUAAAAGGGGCGGCGAAGAGGACCCGCAGGCUGCAAGGAGCAACAGCGAUGGUGAGAAGGCAACCAAAGUGCAGGACAUCAAAAACAACCUGAAAGAGGCGAUUGAAACCAUUGUGGCCGCCAUGAGCAACCUGGUGCCCCCCGUGGAGCUGGCCAACCCCGAGAACCAGUUCAGAGUGGACUACAUUCUGAGUGUGAUGAACGUGCCUGACUUUGACUUCCCUCCCGAAUUCUAUGAGCAUGCCAAGGCUCUGUGGGAGGAUGAAGGAGUGCGUGCCUGCUAUGAACGCUCCAACGAGUACCAGCUGAUUGACUGUGCCCAGUACUUCCUGGACAAGAUCGACGUGAUCAAGCAGGCUGACUACGUGCCGAGCGAUCAGGACCUGCUUCGCUGCCGUGUCCUGACUUCUGGAAUCUUUGAGACCAAGUUCCAGGUGGACAAAGUCAACUUCCACAUGUUUGACGUGGGUGGCCAGCGCGAUGAACGCCGCAAGUGGAUCCAGUGCUUCAACGAUGUGACUGCCAUCAUCUUCGUGGUGGCCAGCAGCAGCUACAACAUGGUCAUCCGGGAGGACAACCAGACCAACCGCCUGCAGGAGGCUCUGAACCUCUUCAAGAGCAUCUGGAACAACAGAUGGCUGCGCACCAUCUCUGUGAUUCUGUUCCUCAACAAGCAAGAUCUGCUCGCUGAGAAAGUCCUUGCUGGGAAAUCGAAGAUUGAGGACUACUUUCCAGAAUUUGCUCGCUACACUACUCCUGAGGAUGCUACUCCCGAGCCCGGAGAGGACCCACGCGUGACCCGGGCCAAGUACUUCAUUCGAGAUGAGUUUCUGAGGAUCAGCACUGCCAGUGGAGAUGGGCGUCACUACUGCUACCCUCAUUUCACCUGCGCUGUGGACACUGAGAACAUCCGCCGUGUGUUCAACGACUGCCGUGACAUCAUUCAGCGCAUGCACCUUCGUCAGUACGAGCUGCUCUAAGAAGGGAACCCCCAAAUUUAAUUAAAGCCUUAAGCACAAUUAAUUAAAAGUGAAACGUAAUUGUACAAGCAGUUAAUCACCCACCAUAGGGCAUGAUUAACAAAGCAACCUUUCCCUUCCCCCGAGUGAUUUUGCGAAACCCCCUUUUCCCUUCAGCUUGCUUAGAUGUUCCAAAUUUAGAAAGCUUAAGGCGGCCUACAGAAAAAGGAAAAAAGGCCACAAAAGUUCCCUCUCACUUUCAGUAAAAAUAAAUAAAAUAACAGCAGCAAACAAAUAAAAUGAAAUAAAAGAAACAAAUGAAAUAAAUAUUGUGUUGUGCAGCAUUAAAAAAAAUCAAAAUAAAAAUUAAAUGUGAGCAAAGAA